rnacentral:misc_RNA from 1 species
GGGGUUUCCUUGAUUAGUAUGAACUUAUUUUUCAUUUGUGCCCAUGAAACGGGGAAGAAUAAUAUUGACAGGAUGAGCAUUGAUGGAAUGCUCCCAUACAAUUGGAAAUAACGUAAAAUCAUAAAAUUGCAAUUAUAAUAAAUGUUGCCCCUCAUUUUCAGCUUCGUCUUCAUCUCCCUCAGAGUUUGUUGAUGUGUCAUCUUCAUUCUCGUCCUCAUCCAAAUCCUGAAUUAUAGAGCCAAAUAAACUAAUUAGCCCAAGGAUUUUUUCCUUUUUCAAGAUAACUCCCACUAGCAUCUUGCUCAUAAGGACUUAGUUACUGCUUCAACUUGCAAGCAGAUCAAUAUAUGAUUGGAGAUGGUGAAGUUUUUGAGCAGAGGCCACUCUUUAUAAAACAAUGCUAACCUGAUAACGUCUCCGAAUGCUUUUCUGAAUGG